rnacentral:rRNA from 1 species
UAGGGAAUCUUCCACAAUGGACGAAAGUCUGAUGGAGCAACGCCGCGUGAGUGAAGAAGGGUUUCGGCUCGUAAAAUUCUGUUGUUAAAGAAGAACAUAUCUGAGAGUAACUGUUCAGGUAUUGACGGUAUUUAACCAGAAAGCCACGGCUAACUACGUGCCAG